rnacentral:rRNA from 1 species
GACGAACGCUGGCGGCGUGCCUAAUACAUGCGAGUCGAACGCUUCUUUCCUCCCGAGUGCUUGCACUCAAUUGGAAAGAGGAGUGGCGGACGGGUGAGUAACACGUGGGUAACCUACCCAUCAGAGGGGGAUAACACUUGGAAACAGGUGCUAAUACCGCAUAACAGUUUAUGCCGCAUGGCAUAAGAGUGAAAGGCGCUUUCGGGUGUCGCUGAUGGAUGGACCCGCGGUGCAUUAGCUAGUUGGUGAGGUAACGGCUCACCAAGGCCACGAUGCAUAGCCGACCUGAGAGGGUGAUCGGCCACACUGGGACUGAGACACGGCCCAGACUCCUACGGGAGGCAGCAGUAGGGAAUCUUCGGCAAUGGACGAAAGUCUGACCGAGCAACGCCGCGUGAGUGAAGAAGGUUUUCGGAUCGUAAAACUCUGUUGUUAGAGAAGAACAAGGACGUUAGUAACUGAACGUCCCCUGACGGUAUCUAACCAGAAAGCCACGGCUAACUACGUGCCAGCAGCCGCGGUAAUACGUAGGUGGCAAGCGUUGUCCGGAUUUAUUGGGCGUAAAGCGAGCGCAGGCGGUUUCUUAAGUCUGAUGUGAAAGCCCCCGGCUCAACCGGGGAGGGUCAUUGGAAACUGGGAGACUUGAGUGCAGAAGAGGAGAGUGGAAUUCCAUGUGUAGCGGUGAAAUGCGUAGAUAUAUGGAGGAACACCAGUGGCGAAGGCGGCUCUCUGGUCUGUAACUGACGCUGAGGCUCGAAAGCGUGGGGAGCAAACAGGAUUAGAUACCCUGGUAGUCCACGCCGUAAACGAUGAGUGCUAAGUGUUGGAGGGUUUCCGCCCUUCAGUGCUGCAGCAAACGCAUUAAGCACUCCGCCUGGGGAGUACGACCGCAAGGUUGAAACUCAAAGGAAUUGACGGGGGCCCGCACAAGCGGUGGAGCAUGUGGUUUAAUUCGAAGCAACGCGAAGAACCUUACCAGGUCUUGACAUCCUUUGACCACUCUAGAGAUAGAGCUUUCCCUUCGGGGACAAAGUGACAGGUGGUGCAUGGUUGUCGUCAGCUCGUGUCGUGAGAUGUUGGGUUAAGUCCCGCAACGAGCGCAACCCUUAUUGUUAGUUGCCAUCAUUUAGUUGGGCACUCUAGCGAGACUGCCGGUGACAAACCGGAGGAAGGUGGGGAUGACGUCAAAUCAUCAUGCCCCUUAUGACCUGGGCUACACACGUGCUACAAUGGGAAGUACAACGAGUCGCUAGACCGCGAGGUCAUGCAAAUCUCUUAAAGCUUCUCUCAGUUCGGAUUGCAGGCUGCAACUCGCCUGCAUGAAGCCGGAAUCGCUAGUAAUCGCGGAUCAGCACGCCGCGGUGAAUACGUUCCCGGGCCUUGUACACACCGCCCGUCACACCACGAGAGUUUGUAACACCCGAAGUCGGUGAGGUAACCUUUUUGGAGCCAGCCGCCUAAGGUGGGAUAGAUGAUUGGGGUG